GGCUAAACUAAUAGUUUUCAUUGAGUGGGGAUUAACUUGCACGGUAACUGAAAGUUAAGAACAUAAAAAAAAUUAAUAUUUAAGUACUUACUUUCGCAAAGUUAAAGGAUGAAUGUUCCGUUAGAAUAUGCACUAGAAAAAUCAAGGAAUCCUUCCGUGAAUGAUGAACUGAAAUUCCUCCGAUCGGAUCGACAAUGGAAAGCAUAGGCGUGUUGUUAACUUGCCCAAUGUCAAAUUACCUCCAAGAACAGCUCUCCAAACGAUUCACCCUUUUCAAAUUCUGGCAAAUUCCCCCAAAUUCCAAGCUCGAAUUUUUCAAUCAAAAUUCAAAAUCUAUACUCGCAGUGGUAGGAAAUGGAAUCCACGGUGCUAACUCGGAACUAAUCAACUCGCUCCCAAAUCUAGAAAUCAUAGCGAAUCAUGGCUCCGGGUUGGACAAAAUUGAUUUACCUAAGUGCAAACAGAAGGGCAUACGUGUCACCUACACGCCAGAUGUUGUGACGGAGGAGGUGGCGGAUUUGGCGAUUUUGCUUACUUUGGCGACACUGAGAAGGAUUUGUGCGGCGGACCGAUUUGUGAGGAGUGGGUUAUGGAAAAAUGGCGAUUUUGAAUUGACCCACAAGGUUUGUUUUGUCUUUGUAGUUUUUUCUAAUCGUAAAUUGAUGCAAUAUAAUUUAUCCAAUUUUCUUGCAGUUGAGUGGCAAAUCAAUUGGUAUAAUAGGUUUGGGGAGGAUUGGAUCUGCAAUAGCCAAGAGAGCUGAAGCUUUCGGCUGUUCAAUCAGCUAUCAUUCACGCUCGCAAAAGUCAAAAUCGAAAUACACUUACUAUCCAUCCGUACUCGACUUGGCUUCCAACUCUCAAAUCCUUAUUGUGGCAUGUGCAUUAACAGACGAAACUCGCCAUAUUGUCAACCGCGAUGUCAUAAACGCGUUGCGUUCAGAUGGAGUUAUCGUCAACAUCGGAAGAGGGGGUCACAUUGACGAACCUGAACUCAUAUCAGCACUUGUUGAAGGCCGGCUGAGAGGUGCUGGGCUUGAUGUACUUGAGCACGAGCCCGAAGUGCCCGAGAUUCUCCGCCGCCUGGAUAAUGUAGUUCUUUCCCCUCAUGUGGGAACUUGCACGAUGGAAACUCGUAAGGCCAUGGCUGACCUUAUUGUGGAUAACCUCGAGGCGCAUUUUUCGAACAAAUCUCUAUUGACUCCCCUUUUUUGAUUACGUUCCAAUUGUAACGAUUUGGGUUUUUGUUAUCUAGUCGUUUUAUUAUUCGUACUGUUCGUUUUAGGCACAGGGUUUUUCCCAAAUUGAACGAUUUGGACAAAGAUGCUAAGUCUGAGUGAUUACAGGAAAGCACGACAAUGUUGUUGCCAUGGUAUUGUUCUAGGCCUGCCAAAUUUAUGUUACUUUUUGGGCCUUAGUAACUUAUUCGAACAAGGAGUUAAAGACUAAUGACUUCAGCUGCUUUUGUCGUUCAAUGAUGAUGGAUUAGGAGACAGAAGUUCUUUGAAUCAUUGCUAAUUCACUCAAGCAUGUUCUUAUGCAGGAGAAGAUAUUGCAAAUUAGUUGUUAAUAUGGACGAAAUGAAUAAAAUUAGUAAAGAAUGUAUUAAGAUAUUAUCAUACCAUUGAGUUGAAAAACAACCGAUCUUGAGCAUAAAAUCUCUCUCUUCAUUAUACGAUUGAGUUGAAAAACACCUUACUAUCAAAAUUAAGGCUGAUCGAUAUGAUUGGAAAAAUAAAAGAACUGAUUCGGUUAUAGACUAGUUGAGAAUUUAAAACUCACCUAAAAUUGAAAAUGUUCUCUAUUCAAUCAGAGUCAAAUUCAUUCGACCCUUUGACAUUUUACACUUUUUAAAUCAUUAGAAGAUAAUGGUCGUUUUGAAGCUCAAUAUAUACUUGUCAAACUUGGGAUGUUAUUUACUGCAGAAAAAAAUGGAGGGCGUGGGCGUGCUAAUGACUUGUCCCAUGUUAGCCUAUCUCGAAGAAGAACUCGAAAAGCGCUUCACACUCUUCAGAUUUUGGGAAUCGCGUUCCGAAACCCAGUUUUUGGAACAAAAAUCUGAUUCAAUUCUCGCAGUGGUUGGCAACGCUUCAUUUAAUGCCGACUCCGACCUGAUUGAUGCACUACCGCAUUUGCAAAUCGUGGCGAGUUACAGUGUCGGAGUGGACAAGAUUGAUUUGAAUAAAUGUGAAAAAAGAGGGAUCAGAGUUACAAACACGCCUGAUGUGCUAACAGAAGAUGUGGCUGAUACAGCCAUCGGAUUGAUAUUGGCGACUUUGAGGAAGAUUUGUGCUUGUGAUGGGUUUGUAAGAAAUGGGUCCUGGAAAAAUGGCGAUUUUGAGUUGACUACUAAGGUUCGUGAAUUGGGAUUUCUGAUACUAUGUGAUAAUUUUAUGCAUAUUUUCUAUGACUUUGAAGGCAGAUAUAGUUCUCCUUGUUUGUUCACAAUUCCGGAAAACUGUGCUCAAUGUGUUCGAUGAAAUGCUGCAGUAGAAUUCCGUGCAAUAAAAUAAUUAGGCUUUCGAAGGAAGUGGAAUUUUGGGUUCGACUACAAAAGUUAGAGAAUUGUAGAAUUUCUGUUCCAUGUUGAGGCAUUGGAAUAAUGUAUCACCUUUUUAAACCAUCAAGAAGGGCGUUAUUUCACAAAAUAUGGUUGUCAAAUUCUGCUUUUAAGAAGGAAAAUGAAGCUAACAUUGGGUUCAUUGUAUUUCCCAGUUGUAUCGUAUAUCGUGUACCAGUACCAAUCGUGCACUUGAAGUCUCACUUUUGAGUAAUUUAACCAACGUUUUCAGGCUCGUAACAGUGUUAGGGCUGCUCACUUGAAUCAUCACCUCGUCUUUUCGUUUUCUUGAAUUUUCCAUGAUAUUCCUGUUUAGAUUUUCUUAUUUGCUGCUUUCUUUUUCAGUUCAGUGGUAAAGCAGUUGGCAUAGUUGGAUUGGGUAGGAUUGGUUCAGCAAUAGCCAAGAGAGCCGAAGCCUUCGGCUGCACCAUCAGUUACCACUCCAGAACCAAGAAACCAACUACAAAUUACAGAUACUACUCCAACAUCAUCAAUUUAGCUGCCAACUGUGAAAUCCUCAUUGUGGCAUGCUCUUUGACAGAAGAAACCCAUCACAUUGUGAAUCGAAAGGUCAUAGAUGCUUUAGGACCCAAAGGAGUUCUCAUCAAUAUUGGACGAGGUGCACACGUUGAUGAACCCGAACUUGUGUCUGCAUUACUUGACGGACGGAUAGCUGGAGCUGGAUUCGAUGUGUUUGAAAACGAGCCUGAGGUACCUGAACCUUUUCUUGGACUCGAAAAUGUUGUUCUUUUACCUCAUGUUGGAAGCGACACUUUUGAAACUAGCAAAGCCAUGGCUGACCUAGUCAUUGCAAACUUGGAGGCUCAUUUUCUACACAAACCUCUAUUAACUCCAGUGAUUUGAGUAGAUUUUGUUCAUUUUGAACUAGCGUUCUAGCAAAUUUUGGACUCUACUUAUUGUUUACGAAGAUUCUUGGGUGCUUCAACUUUGCAUACCACCUAUUUAUUUAGAAACAACAAUAUUGUUCAAUUUCAUCAGAAGCUUGGUAGAAAUUGCAAUCAUGUGUGUUACACAGUAGAUUGAUUCUUUUGGUGCCAUUUCAUAUAAUUUAUUUUCAAUUAUCAAUUAGAGGAACCAAACACGUUCUAUUCUGCAACAUAAAACUGCAUAGAAAGCAUUGUGAAAGCUGCCUCUAAAGUCAAAUAUUACAGUAAUCUACAACUAGAAAUUUCUUAAUAGGCAUGCUUGGUGAGAUGGACUAGAAGACACUAAGGAAGAAAAAUAAGCUAAAGUCAAUCUAUUGUACUAUUCAGUCUAUUCAGUUGUGUUCGAUCCAUAACGAACUAUGAAAGGCUGCUAUGGAGGUGGAGUUGAUGGAGACGAAGAAACUUUGAAGAUGAGAAAAUUUAGAGUCUCCAAUGUGAAAUAUAUGAAAGUCCCUUUGCUGUGUGUGAAAAAACACCCAAAGUUGGACCCUGCCACACACUGCCAUCCACUCCCAUAUCUCUUGUCAAACUCCUGCCAAUCAUAGCUAAUCUCAUCAAACUUAUACACAAGACCCAGAAAGUAAAUUUCUAGCUUAGAAGUUGCUUCUUUUGUAUUAAAAAAAAAAAAAAUUAACUUUUGAGCACGAUGAGAUGUGCUAUUAUCACCUUCUUGAUGUGGGCAGCAAUGGAUUUGCAGUCAAAAACAUCAUAGAGAUCUAGAGCUUGAGAAGCAAAAGCCAUUGCUUGGAUCUGCAUCUUCACUGGCAUAUCUGUAUCCUCUAUCAAACCCUUCCCUUCUAACAUUUUUCUUUGCCUUUAGACAAUAUAUUAGUUGUUCUUCUUGCUCAAUUCUUGGGAGCCCGUAAGUGUGUGUCAGAUUUGCAGAGAGUAAUCUACAAUAUAUAAUAAAUAGGUGACAUCCAAAUGUAGAGAAGCUAUUUGAUGUGUAUUCUGGUGGUGG
rnacentral:lncRNA from 1 species